CCCUUAGAUGUCCGGGGCCGCACGCGCGCUACACUGAAGGAAUCAGCGUGGCUUUCUCCCUGACCCGAAAGGGUUGGGAAACCCGUUGAAUCUCCUUCGUGAUAGGGAUUGGGGCUUGAAAUUGUUCCCCAUGAACGAGGAAUUCCCAGUAAGCGCGAGUCAUAAGCUCGCGUUGAUUACGUCCCUGCCCUUUGUACACACCGCCCGUCGCUACUACCGAUUGAGUGUCUCGGUGAAUUCUUUGAUUUUCUGUCAAUUCAGUUCACUGAUCCGACGGUGGAAAGUUGACUGAACUUCGUCAUUUAGAGGAAGGAGAAGUCGUAACA
rnacentral:rRNA from 1 species